AACGAACGCUGGCGGCAUGCCUAACACAUGCAAGUCGAACGAGACCUUCGGGUCUAGUGGCGCACGGGUGCGUAACGCGUGGGAACCUGCCCUUAGGUUCGGAAUAACUCCCCGAAAGGGGUGCUAAUACCGGAUAAUGUCUUCGGACCAAAGAUUUAUCGCCUUUGGAUGGGCCCGCGUUGGAUUAGCUAGUUGGUAGGGUAAAAGCCUACCAAGGCGACGAUCCAUAGCUGGUCUGAGAGGAUGAUCAGCCACACUGGGACUGAGACACGGCCCAGACUCCUACGGGAGGCAGCAGUGGGGAAUAUUGGACAAUGGGCGAAGGCCUGAUCCAGCAAUGCCGGGUGAGUGAUGAAGGCCUUAGGGUUGUAAAGCGCUUUUAACCGGGAUGAUAAUGACAGUACCGGGAGAAUAAGCUCCGGCUAACUCCGUG
rnacentral:rRNA from 1 species